CAAUAGCGUAUAUUAAAGUUGUUGCGGUUAAAAGCUCGUAGUUGGAUUUCUGCCGAGGACGACCGGUCCGCCCUCUGGGUGAGUAUCUGGCUCGGCCUGGGCAUCUUCUUGGAGAACGUAGCUGCACUUGACUGUGUGGUGCGGUAUCCAGGACUUUUACUUUGAGGAAAUUAGAUUGUUUCAAGCAGGCAUACGCCUUGAAUACAUUAGCAUGGAAUAAUAAGAUAGGACCUCGGUUCUAUUUUGUUGGUUUCUAGAGCUGAGGUAAUGAUUAAUAGGGACAGUUGGGAAGAUUAGUAUUUGACAGUCAGAGGUGAAAUUCUUGGAUUUGUCAAAGACUAACUUCUGCGAAAGCAUUUCUUAAGGAUGUUUUCAUUAAUCAAGGACGAAAGUUAGGGGAUCGAAGACGAUUAGAUACCGU
rnacentral:rRNA from 1 species